GUUAAUCGGAAUUACUGGGCGUAAAGCGCGCGUAGGCGGCUUGUUAAGCCAGAUGUGAAAGCCCCGGGCUCAACCUGGGAACUGCAUUUGGAACUGACUCGCUAGAGUACAGUAGAGGGUGGUGGAAUUUCCAGUGUAGCGGUGAAAUGCGUAGAGAUUGGAAGGAACACCAGUGGCGAAGGCGGCUCACUGGCUCGAUACUGACGCUGAGGUACGAAAGUGUGGGGAGCAAACAGGAUUAGAUACCCUGGUAGUCCACGCCGUAAACGAUGGACACUAGUUGUUGGAAUUAUUCAGUGACUAAGCGAAAGUGAUAAGUGUCCCACCUGGGGAGUACGAUCGCAAGAUUGAAACUCAAAGGAAUUGACGGGGGCCCGCACAAGCGGUGGAGCAUGUGGUUUAAUUCGAAGCAACGCGCAGAACCUUACCAACCCUUGACAUCCUGUGCUAUAUUUAGAGAUAGAUAGUUCCCUUCGGGGACGCAGUGACAGGUGCUGCAUGGCU
rnacentral:rRNA from 1 species